rnacentral:rRNA from 1 species
UACGGAGGGUGCAAGCGUUGUCCGGAUUUAUUGGGUUUAAAGGGUGCGUAGGCGGCCCGUUAAGUCAGCGGUGAAAUCCCAGGGCUCAACCCUGGAACUGCCGUUGAUACUGGCGGGCUUGAGUUCGGACGAGGCGGGCGGAACUGGUGGUGUAGCGGUGAAAUGCAUAGAUACCACCAAGAACCCCGAUUGCGUAGGCAGCUCGCUAGGCCGAAACUGACGCUGAGGCACGAAAGCGUGGGGAGCGAACAGG